UUGACGGGGCCCGCACAAGCGGUGGAGCAUGUGGUUUAAUUCGAAGCAACACGAAGAACCUUACCAGGUCUUGACAUCCCUGACAACCCGAGAGAUCGGGCGUCCCUUCGGGGGACAGGGCGACAGGUGGUGCAUGGUUGUCGUCAGCUCGUGUCGUGAGAUGUUGGGUUAAGUCCCGCAACGAGCGCAACCCUCGACCUUAGUUGCCAGCAUUCAGUUGGGCACUCUAAGGUGACUGCCGGGCUAAAAGUCGGAGGAAGUGGGGAUGACGUCAAAUCAUCAUGCCCCUUAUGACCUGGGCUACACACGUGCUACAAUGGGCGGUACAAAGGGUCGCGAACCCGCGAGGGGGAGCCAAUCCCAAAAAGCCGCUCUCAGUUCGGAUUGCAGGCUGCAACUCGCCUGCAUGAAGCCGGAAUCGCUAGUAAUCGCGGAUCAGCAUGCCGCAGUGAAUACGUUCCCGGGCCUU
rnacentral:rRNA from 1 species